UGCUGCAGCUGGUGUUGUGAAUCAGGCCGACGAGCAGCGAGUCCUAAUACCCGGCUAUUUCACUACACCAGGGUUGCA
ncrna:Ornithorhynchus anatinus (platypus) microRNA oan-mir-138 precursor (oan-mir-138-2)